AGCUCGUAGUUGGAUUUCUGUUAAUAUUUUAUAUUAUUAAUUUAUUAUUAUUAAUAUAAUGUUAACAUAAUUCAUAUUACUUUUUAAGUAUAUGAAAUUUUACUUUGAGAAAAUUAGAGUGCUUAAAGCAGGCUUUUGCCUUGAAUACUCCAGCAUGGAAUAAUAUUAAAGAUUUUUAUCUUUCUUAUUGGUUCUAAGAUAGAAAUAAUGAUUAAUAGGGACAGUUGGGGGCAUUUGUAUUUAACAGUCAGAGGUGAAAUUCUUAGAUUUGUUAAAGACAAACUAAUGCGAAAGCAUUUGCCAAGGAUGUUUUCAUUAAUCAAGAACGAAAGUUAGGGGAUCGAAGACGAUCAGAUACCGUCGUAGUCUUAACCAUAAACUAUGCCCACUAGAGAUUGGGGGGUGUUCCUUACUCCUUCAGCACCUUA
rnacentral:rRNA from 1 species